AGCGAACGCUGGCGGCAUGCUUAACACAUGCAAGUCGCACGGGAGGGGCAACCCUUCAGUGGCGGACGGGUGAGUAACGCGUAGGUAUCUAUCUCCGGGUGGGGGACAACUGUGGGAAACUACAGCUAAUACCGCAUGAUGCCCGAGGGCCAAAGCAGCAAUGCGCCUGGAGAGGAGCCUGCGUACGAUUAGCUUGUUGGCGGGGUAAUGGCCCACCAAGGCGACGAUCGUUAGCUGGUCUGAGAGGAUGAUCAGCCACACUGGGACUGAGACACGGCCCAGACUCCUACGGAAGGCAGCAGUGGGGAAUAUUGGACAAUGGGCGCAAGCCUGAUCCAGCAAUGCCGCGUGAGUGAAGAAGGUCUUCGGAUUGUAAAACUCUUUCGCGCACGACGAUAAUGACGGUAGUGCGAGAAGAAGCUCCGGCUAACUUCGUGCCAGCAGCCGCGGUAAUACGAAGGGGGCUAGCGUUGUUCGGAAUUACUGGGCGUAAAGCGCGCGCAGGCGGCUAUCCAAGUCAGUGGUGAAAGCCCGGAGCUCAACUCCGGAACUGCCAUUGAAACUGUUUAGCUUGAGGACGAGAGAGGUGAGUGGAAUUCCCAGUGUAGAGGUGAAAUUCGUAGAUAUUGGGAAGAACACCGGUGGCGAAGGCGGCUCACUGGCUCGUUUCUGACGCUCAGGCGCGACAGCGUGGGGAUCAAACAGGAUUAGAUACCCUGGUAGUCCACGCCGUAAACGAUGAUUGCUAGCCGUUGGGCAGCUUGCUGUUCAGUGGCGCAGCUAACGCAUUAAGCAAUCCGCCUGGGGAGUACGGCCGCAAGGUG
rnacentral:rRNA from 1 species